GCGACACCCCUGGCAAGAGCUAAAAAAGGUGAGUGAAACUGAUUAUUCAAAGUAUUUUCAUCCCUUUAGUAUUGUAGGCUUGAGAAAGGAGACUGAACUCUGUCUAGGCAACUUCCAGUGUUAUUAUAAUCAUGUAUGUCGUUUUUGGAGACAUUUGUGUUGUUUUUAACCAAUACAUUUAGAAUAUAAGCUACCCUUUUGUUCUUGUUCCUGUUGAGAAAAAUGAAUACUGUGUAAAUGAAAUUAUUGUUUUGCACCUGUAUAUUAUAGAAAAUAACACUUAUGUUUACAUAUUCCCUAAUUUUUUCAGGUCACAUUUGAUCUAUAUGAUGGAGCCAUUGGAUUUGUGAAUAUAAGAAAUGUGCAUUGGAAGUUUGUGUACCUCCAUGCCCUUUCAAACCACAUUUAUGUGGUUGAUCCUCUGCAAGGGUCAAAUGAAGUUGAGGACUCCAGAAAGGCUGGUUACAAUUUUGGAGAGUAUUUCAAGAUGCGCCGGAACAGACUGGGAAAAGAGGACUGGGUUAACAUCAAAUGGCAGCCUGGAAAAAUAACCCACACCUUCCAGAAAGAUGCCACCAGUUGUGGAGCCUUUGUCAUGCAGACGUUUCACAUCAAGUCAUCAAAACAAUGUCUUCAACAUACAGUAUACGAAGAGACAUGGAAGAAGAAAUUCUCAAAGGAUCAGUUUCAAAGGAUGACUUCUGUUCCUUCUGUGGAAUUGAGGAUCUGCCCACAACUGCUGUUGAUGCUGUUUGGAUUCAGUGUGAAACUUCACACGCAGUGCCUCGGAAUGACUGCUGCACGAAUACCCAAAAAAAAGAUCCCGUGGUAUUGUGUGUUGUGUAUCCUCCCAAACUAAAGAGGCUAUAGGUGAGUUUGUGUAACUUUUACCAGAGGUACCAGGAUUUGGGGAGGUAAGGCUUGUAGUUUGAACUACUACCACAGUAGAAGUAGUGCGCUUACAAACGGCAUGUGGGGGGAAAUCCAGCCCAGCCAGUGAUUUGAAAUCGGCAAAAUGAAAGCUACAUUUUGUACAAAACAAACAAAAAUCCAGAAAAAAGCUUUGCUAAAGAUUUUGGGCAACUGAAGUAAUGAUUAAUAAUCACCUGUCCAUAGUUUUAAAUUGUUAUAUUCUUAAUUAAGAUGUUAAAUAUAUUUUCAAUUACAGAUUAAAGUAGUCACAGAUGUUCAUGAUGUUUUCCAUG